rnacentral:rRNA from 1 species
CCUACGGGGCGCAGCAGUGGGGAAUAUUGGGCAAUGGGCGCAAGCCUGACCCAGCAACGCCGCGUGAAGGAAGAAGGCUUUCGGGUUGUAAACUUCUUUUAUGAGGGACGAAAGAAAUGACGGUACCUCAUGAAUAAGCCACGGCUAACUACGUGCCAGCAGCCGCGGUAAUACGUAGGGGGCGAGCGUUGUCCGGAAUCACUGGGCGUAAAGGGCGCGUAGGCGGUUUAAUAAGGCAGUGGGGAAAACUGAGGGCUCAACCCUCAGCCUGCCACUGAUACUGUUAGACUUGAGGAUGGAAGAGG